rnacentral:rRNA from 1 species
UACGGAAGGCAGCAGGGGGAAUAUUGCACAAUGGGCGCAAGCCUGAUGCAGCCAUGCCGCGUGUAUGAAAAAGGCCUUCGGGUUGUAAAGUACUUUCAGUCGUGAGGAAGGUGUUAAGGUUAAUAACCUUAGCAAUUGACGUUAGCGACAGAAGAAGCACCGGCUAACUCCGUGCCAGCAGCCGCGGUAAUACGGAGGGUGCGAGCGUUAAUCGGAAUUACUGGGCGUAAAGGGCACGCAGGCGGUUAAUUAAGUUGGAUGUGAAAUCCCCGGGCUUAACCUGGGAAUGGCAUUCAAGACUGGUUAGCUAGAGUCUUGUAGAGGGGGUAGAAUUCCAUGUGUAGCGGUGAAAUGCGUAGAGAUGUGGAGGAAUACCGGUGGCGAAGGCGGCCCCUGGACAAAGACUGACGCUCAUGUGCGAAAGCGUGGGGAGCAAACGAGGGAUUAGAUACC